AUGGCUGAUGCUGAUGUAAAUCCAAAGGCCUACCCUCUCGCAGAUGUCCACCUCACCAAGAAACUACUGGACCUCGUGCAGUAGCCAUGUAACUACAGGCAGCUUUAGAAAGAAGCCAAAGAGGCCACCAAAACCCUCAGUAGGGGCAUUUCUGGGUUCAUUGUGGGGGCUGCAGAUGCCAAGCUGCUGGAGAUCAUUCUGCACCUGCAGCUGCUGUGUGAAGACAAGAAUGUGUUCUACGUGUUUGUAUGCUCCAAACAGGCCCUCGGGUGGGCCUGUGGGGUCUCCAGAUCUGUCAUCGUCUGUCCUGUCACUGUCAAAGAAGCUCACAGCUCAAGCAGUAGAUCCAGUCCAUUCAGCAGUCCAUUGAAAGACUUAGUCUAA
rnacentral:lncRNA from 1 species